rnacentral:hammerhead_ribozyme from 1 species
AUCCAGCUGACAGACGUCCCAAAUAGGACGAAAUGCGCAUCCUGGAU